rnacentral:rRNA from 1 species
CCAGACUCCUACGGGAGGCAGCAGUGGGGAAUAUUGGACAAUGGACCGAGAGUCUGAUCCAGCAAUUCUGUGUGCACGAUGAAGUUUUUCGGAAUGUAAAGUGCUUUCAGUUGGGAAGAAAAAAAUGACGGUACCAACAGAAGAAGUGACGGCUAAAUACGUGCCAGCAGCCGCGGUAAUACGUAUGUCACGAGCGUUAUCCGGAUUUAUUGGGCGUAAAGCGCGUCUAGGUGGUUAUGUAAGUCUGAUGUGAAAAUGCAGGGCUCAACUCUGUAUUGCGUUGGAAACUGUAUAACUAGAGUACUGGAGAGGUAAGCGGAACUACAAGUGUAGAGGUGAAAUUCGUAGAUAUUUGUAGGAAUGCCGAUGGGGAAGCCAGCUUACUGGACAGAUACUGACGCUGAAGCGCGAAAGCGUGGGUAGCAAACAGGAUUAGAUACCCUGGUAGUCCACGCUGUAAACGAUGAUUACUAGGUGUUGGGGGUCGAACCUCAGCGCCCAAGCAAACGCGAUAAGUAAUCCGCCUGGGGAGUACGUACGCAAGUAUGAAACUCAAAGGAAUUGACGGGGGCCCGCACAAG